rnacentral:rRNA from 1 species
AAUUAGAGUGUUCAAAGCAGGCAUUUGCUUGAAUAUAUUAGCAUGGAAUAAUCAUGUAUGAUUUUCAUGAUGUAUUUGAUUGGUUUGGUUCAUGAGAAUAAGAUUAAAAGGGACAGUUGGGGGUAUUCAUAUUCAAUAGUCAGAGGUGAAAUUCUCGGAUUUAUGGAAGAUGAACAAGUGCGAAAGCAUUUACCAAGGAUGUUUUCAUUAAUCAAGAACGAAAGUUAGGGGAUCGAAGAGGAUUAGAUACCCUCGUAGUCUUAACUAUAAACGAUACCGACUAGAGGUUAGUGAAGGUCAUUGUGUCUUGACUAGUAUCUUAUGAGAAAUCAAAGUCUUUGGGUUCCGGGGGGAGUAUGGUCGCAAGGCUGAAACUUAAAGGAAUUGACGGAAGGGCACCACCAGGGAGUGGAGCCUGCGGCU